ensembl:lncRNA
GGGGAGAUGAGAGGGGAGAUGAGUCAGGAGGGGAGAUGAGUCAGGAGGGGAGAUGAGUCAGGAGGGGAGAUGAGUCAGGAGGGGAGAUGAGAGGGGAGAUGAGUCAGGAGGGGAGAUGAGAGGAGAGAUGAGUCAGGAAGGGAGAUGAGAGGAGAGAUGAGUCAGGAAGGGAGAUGAGAGAGGAGGGGAGAUGAGUCAGGAGGGGAGAUGAGAGGGGAGAUGAGUCAGGAGGGGAGAUGAGUCAGGAGGGGAGAUGAG